AUCAGCUCUGGGGUAAAGAAUACAGA
rnacentral:piRNA from 1 species